UACGUAGGGGGCUAGCGUUGUCCGGAAUCAUUGGGCGUAAAGCGCGCGUAGGCGGCCCGGUAAGUCCGCUGUGAAAGUCGGGGGCUCAACCCUCGAAUGCCGGUGGAUACUGUCGGGCUAGAGUGCGGAAGAGGCGAGUGGAAUUCCUGGUGUAGCGGUGAAAUGCGCAGAUAUCAGGAGGAACACCUAUUGCGAAGGCAGCUCGCUGGGACGUAACUGACGCUGAGACGCGAAAGCGUGGGGAGCGAACAGG
rnacentral:rRNA from 1 species